rnacentral:rRNA from 1 species
AUGGUACGUCAUAAAAAACAGUAUAACACUAUGGGCAUGGUAGAUAAUAAGCAAAAUGUCAAGGUAAAAGAAGAGGAAGAUGAAAAUAUUAAUACGAAAGAGAAAAGGAAGCAAAAUAAAGCUGAAGGUGGUAAGAAAGCAGAGGAGAAGCAAAAUUCCUCGAAGAGGAAGAUGAAUAAGAACAAGGAGGAGAAAGAGAAGAAAACGAGAGUUGUUGAUAAAAAGGAUGAUGAGGAGAAGGAGAGGGAGGAUCGGAGGAAAAGAAAGGAAAAUGAGAAGAAGAUUAAGUCACAUAUGGAAGGAAAGGAGGAGAAUAAGAAUGAGAAAGAAGAACAAGGGCAGCAAGAAAUUGAGAAAGAGAAAGGAGAGGAACAAAAGGAGAUAAAUAAGCAGAAGGGAAGGAAGAAAAAUGAUAAAGAGGAAGAGGAUUUGAAGGAAAGGCAUGAGAAGGACCAGAAUGGCAAAAAAAAUUGCCCUCACUUCUUUAGGGCGCUCAUAUCCUAUUCAUUUAUGGAACACGUGACCAUUCCAGUAGGAUUCCACAAAUACUUGGAAGAUUGUACAGGAAUGGUUUCCCUGAGAGGUCCAAGCGGGAAUAAAUGGCCCGUAGAGCUGGCUAAAAUCUCUGGGGAGCUACGCUUUGCACGUGGAUGGAAGGAGUUCCUCUCCGACAAUCGCAUCGGGUAUGGCUACAUGCUGGUAUUCCGUUACGAGGGGCAGUCACAGUUCUCAGUGAUCAUUUUCUUGCCAUCGUCCUGCGAGGAUCCCUAUGCGUCUCUCGCCCAGCCGCAGCGCAAGGAUGUCGACGUGGCUGGAGAGGAAGAGAAAGGGCUCAUGAGCACCAAUGCAGAUGGUACUGCCCCUCAAGAAGAAGACGCUCACACUGGCACCAGUGUAGAUGGUACACCACAAAAUGAAGCUUCAGAAGAAGAAGAUGCUUCAGAAGAUGAAGAGGCAGAGGAAGUUGAAGACGCAUUAUCAGAAACUGCAGAGAACGAGGAAGACGGUGAAUGUCACAUGUGCAGCGACGAUGCAUUAGAACCAGCGCAACAACAACAGGAGGAUCUACGCAAGACCGACGAUGGUUUUGUGGUCGGGAAGAGGGCUAGGUUUAGGAAGGUUGAUGAUAUCAUGGCAGAAGUGGACCGAUCCAAGAAGUCCAAGACUGUGGAGAGGAAGAACUCUGAAGGUCCAUCUGGUGAUCUAGGUUCUGGGGGAGCAGCAUCAAGCGAUAGUUUGGCAGAAUCGGAGCAUCGUCCACCCAAGAAGUCCAAGGCUGAGGAGAUAAGGUCUGCAUCUGGCGAUUCACCUUCUAAGGCGGCAGCAUCAAGCGACAAUUUUGCAGAGUUGGACAGUCGUCCAUCCAAGGAGUCCAAGGCCGAGGGUAAAAGCUUUGCUGGUCCUUUAAUUGUUUGUACCAGUUCUUCUAGUUCAUCAUCCAAAAGAGUUCCCCUCAAAAAAUCUUCGGAAGAAACAAUAUCAAGUGACAAUUUGGCAGUUCAUACAGGUGUAUUCGCACCAGAAUCUGUGUGCACGGACUUAACCAUGUGGCACAAUUCUUUUGGUAAAAGGCUUAGUAAGCAGAAUCAAUUCCCAAUGUUCAACAAGAGCAAUGGUGAAAACCAACCUGGCAGAGUUCUCAUCAAGGUUAUGAGAAGGCUGGGAUUAACAUCACAGAGGCGUCCAGUAACUCAAAGGGAGAAGGAAUGUGCCAUGGAGAGGGCGCAGAGGUUCAAAUCCGAGAGGCCCUUCGCCAUCAAGGCAAUGAAGCACAACGAUGUCUAUGCCUCGUACUUCAUGAUCAUCCCGGACAAGUUUGUGAAAACAUUCCUCCCCAAAGAGAGUAGGAAGAUGACGCUGUGGGACCCGCAGGCAAAGCCGUGGAAGGUGUGGUACGAGUACACCGGCGGUGAGUGUCCUCGCGCGGCGUUCAGUGCCGGGUGGGGGGCGCUCGCCAUGGAGAACAACCUGGAGAAGUGGGACGUGUGCGUGUUCGAGCUCCUGGACCAGGAAUACAAUAUCAAGCUGCACGUCCACAAGGUCGUGAUGAUGAUCACUCCCUGCAUCCUCGCCCCAAAACCUCGCACAAACGAGCGAUAA